rnacentral:rRNA from 1 species
UACAUAGGUCUCAAGCGUUGUUCGGAUUCAUUGGGCGUAAAGGGUGCGUAGGCGGCGCGGUAAGUCGGGUGUGAAAUUUCGAGGCUUAACUUCGAAACUGCAUUCGAUACUGCCGUGCUAGAGGACUGGAGAGGAGACUGGAAUUUACGGUGUAGCGGUGAAAUGCGUAGAUAUCGUAAGGAAGACCAGUGGCGAAGGCGGGUCUCUGGACAGUUCCUGACACUGAGGCACGAAGGCCAGGGGAGCAAACGGG